rnacentral:hammerhead_ribozyme from 1 species
ACACUGCUGAGGAGCGCCACAAUAGGGCGAAACGGUCGUCCAGUGC